AACGAACGCUGGCGGCGCGUCUUAACCAUGCCAGUCGAGCGGCAGGCCGCAAUGCCGAGUGCGGCGGACUGGUGAGUAAAACGUGGAUAACGUACUCCGAUGUCCGGGACAGCCUGUAGAAAUAGAGGGUAAUACCGGAUAGAUCACUGUUUACGUGAGGUAGACAGCGGGAAAGGAGCUUCGGCUCCGCGUCGGGAUCGGUCUGCGGCGCAUCAGCUGGACGGCGGGGUAAAGGCACGCCGAGGCGAGGACGGGUAGCCGGCCUGAGAGGGCGGACGGACACAUUGGAACUGAGACACGGCCCAGACUCCUACGGGAGGCAGCAGGUAAGAAUAUUCCGCAAUGGGGGGAACCCUGACGGAGCGACGCCGCGUGAACGAAGAAGGCCUGAAGAUUGUAAAGUUCUGUUCUGUGCGAGGAAUAAAUUUCGGAGGAAAUGCCGAGACGGUGACGGUAGGGCAGGAAUAAGCACCGGCUAAUUACGUG
rnacentral:rRNA from 1 species